GGGUGGUGAAGUUGGCAUGGUAUUUGAGAUUUACGGAGAUUCUGAGGAUGGGUGGUGAAGUUGGCAUGGUAUUUGAGAUUUACGGAGAUUCUGAGGAUGGGUGGUGAAGUUGUCAUGGUAUUUGAGAUUUACGGAGGUACUGAGGUACUGAGGAUGGGUGGUGAAGUUGGCAUGGUAUUUGAGAUUUACGGAGUCUCUGACGAUGGGUGGUGAAGUUGGCAUGGUAUUUGAGAUUUACGGAGGUACUGAGGAUGGGUGGUGAAGUUGGCAUGGUAUUUGAGAUUUACGGAGGUUCUGAGAAUGGGUGGUGAAGUUGGCAUGGUAUUUGAGAUUUACGGAGGUUCUGACGAUGGGUGGUGAAGUUGGCAUGGUAUUUGAGAUUUACGGAGGUUCUGAGGGUGGGUGGUGAAGUUGGCAUGGUAUUUGAGAUUUACGGAGGUUCUGACGAUGGGUGGUGAAACAGUGACAGAGAGCGAGUGAAAAGGAAGGAGUUACAAAGUUCAAGUUCAAGUUCAAGUUCAAGUUUAUUAUCAUUUACUCAUAAACAGCAUUUAUCAGUAAUGAAAUUCUUUGUGCUCAAUGUCCGUUCAACUUAGAGAAAAAAAUAAAUGAAACACUGGAGAAUGGGGAAAAGGGGUAGGAAAAAGAGAAAAAAAUUGCAGUGC
ensembl:lncRNA